CACUAAGAAGCUUACAUGAUUUAAGCGCCAGCCUUUUAAGCUGGAGACCGGUGAUUAUCAACCACCCUUAGUGA
rnacentral:tRNA from 1 species